UGUAGCUUUCUGCUUUCACAGUGCAAUUUUUCACCUAAAAUGAGACUCCCGACCUGCUGACUUCUGCCACUUCACACCAGUUCAAUUCUCAACUCCAGCAGACACCGCCUGGCACCUUCCCUGUAGUGGGAGCUUCUCACUUUUGUCCAGAGUAGCUGAGGACCCUUUAAACAGCAAAUUGCAACUGUCCCUCUGAGGUGCUGUCCUUGGGUUUUCUGGCUUUGUGCCCUUAGUUUAAGUUACAGACGUUUUUCCAUGUAUUUCUUACAUAUACUUUUAGAAGUUUAGGCUCUGUCUACUCUUGCUUUUAAAACUGAAGUUGUUCUUUCUAUUCCAUAAAUUCUCCUCCUUCUUGGAACAUAAGCUUUUUGUAAACUAUAAGGUGUGGGUAACAAGUGUGAUUAAAUCUAGCUGUGGGUGUGCUCACAUCAGAGCACACUUGGUUUUGUGCAAGUGCCAUCAGUGACUGAGAGCUUGUGCAGCACCUCAAGUAGGACAGAACAAGGCACAGUCUGAGCCAUCAGACACUGCCCCAGUCCUGUUUUCUGUGAAAGGAUGAAAAGGAUCAGCAUAUCCUCCCAGAUAUGCUGAUAAACAGAUUUCAGUCACAGCACAUCACUUGAUCUGCCAUAAAUGCCUUUUGGGAAGUGCCCAGGUUCAGCUGAGAGCCAUGUUGAGGCUUAGGACCAGGAUUUUUUUAAUAGAGACCCAAACCUUAGAGAGAACACAUAUAUUUGUCAAUAGAGUGUAUAUGGAGCCCAUUGUUACUAAACUAAUCCGGUUAACAAAACCCACAGCUUUUCCUAAAGAGAGAUUCAGAGGAUUUAAAGCUCAGGGAGAAUAGCACCUUUUGUCCUUGCCCUGCCUCACUGGCAUCCUGUUGGGCAGACUACUGUGACACUUACUGCCUUUUGAACUGGUAGGAAGGAAAAGAAAAAUAAUAUUGAGACUGGGCUGAAGUGUUCAUGGUAGGGAACAGGAGAAGAAACCAGGCCUUGUUAGUAGAUGCAGAAUCAUCCCCAUGAGAGGAUUCACCUGCAUUCACCUCAGCUGAGAAGGGUCUUUGCAAGCCUGGUGCACACACUCAGCUCCAGGUGCUCCCCUGGUCCCACCACCCUCUGACCUCCAGCUGCAGGGAAGCACUGGAGCAGCUCAUUAGGCAGGGCCACAGGUGAGUCCUUAGGACAACCUUCCCACCCUUCCCUCUGGAUGAGUGCCACCUGCACAGAUGGCUUCCUCUUGGCUCUGCUUUCUGCUGAAUUGUAGGUAUUGGAGCCUGCCUCACAUCAAAUCUGCCUUUGCAUUGCUAGCUAGAACAGAGCUGUGUGGCUGGUUGUGAAAGAGCAGCAUAUUCCCUGAGAAAUAGGAGGCUCCCUUCUUGUUUUGGGAUCUUUUACCUGCUUGUUGUAAGGGGUUUUUUUAAGAUUGCCAGGAGAAGAGGAAACCAUGUCAAACACAAAAUGCAUUGCAACAUCUAAAGAAGUGUACUAUGAUAUACACUUUGACAUGUUCUUCUGUUGUGGAGUCAUCUGCCACAGCCCUGUCUGAAAUUUGGAGCUUGGAUCUUAAAGAGGGCAUCUCCUCAGAGGAUCUUGAGGAAGAAAGGCAGCAAGGCCUGAGGAAGGAUUUCAGUGUUUCAGUGCUGCUGUCCUUUGCACAACAGAAGGCACACUCUCCUCUGUGUCUGCUCCCUGACCUCCCAUAGAGGGAAUAGGUGCACGUGACUAAAUGUAUGAAGAAAUUCCUGGGGAUACUCACAUGCUUUGGAUGUGUCCAUCAGAGAGUCUUUGGUGUUUUCUCCAGCAUGAUGAAGCUCUUGGGGAUGCUCUGCCAAUCUCUUCAGGUGAACACUCCUGGUGCUGUAAUUGUACCUGCUGUAGGGGAGAUGCCUCCUGCCAGGGAAGUGAUGGGUAUUUCAUAGAACAGAUGUGGGUCUGCUCCCCUCACCUGCUCCUGCCAGCCCUGUUGCUGCUCCUUGGGGCAAUGACCUCCCCGUGGUUGCUGGACAUGGGACAGGCCCAGGUGGGCCCUGGGAUGGAGCUGUCCCCAUCAACAGCGAGCUCUGGGGAACCAGUCCCUGCACACAGGUGGGGACAGCUGAGCCAAGCCUCACACCCUCCCUCUGGGCCCUUGCAGGAGGCUGGUGUGCGGAUGUGGAGUUUUUUGAGGUGCUCUGCACAAGGCAGUGGUUGUGUUCUUCCAGCAGAUGCAGGCUGACAGGCCACAAUCAAGUACAGCUAGUCCCUGUAACAGUGGGGCUGUUUAUCUUGCAGUUCCUCUUAGAGGCUUAGAGACUUUAAAAUCACAGAAUAUGCCGAGUUGGAAGGGAUGCACAAGGGUCAUCAACUCCAGCUGCUGGCCCUGCACAGCACCAUCCCCAAGAACCACCCCAUGUGCCCUGGAGUAUUAUCCAACUGCUUCUUGAGCUCUGGCAGGCUUGGUGCUGUGACCACUUCUCUGAAAGAAGCCUUUUAAAUGAGAGCAGACACUGAUAAUCCCACGUAGCCACAGGACAUUAAGCCUCCACUAUUGAUGUCUCACUUUGACUCAUUUAUCUGGUCAGAAAGUCUUAUGGGGCCAAUUGAGAUCACAUAGCUCAUAAUUUUAUAGCCAGAAAUUAUUAAAAUAAUAACAAUAAAGUAAUAAUAAUAAACCUUCACUUACUUUAAUGACAAAUCUUUAUGACUGACAAUUCCUCCAGCUUGCAUAUAACUCCCAUAGCCUGAAACUCUUCUGUAUGAGUCCCAUGCUAUUGUUCCACAGUCACAAGAGUGAAAUCUGAAAAGCUGACUUGAACUCCUCAAUAGGUGAAAGUCUUUCUGGGCCCUUAUAAGAGAGAGAAUUCACUGAAUAGAAAAAUCUUUCCUUUGGAAGCCAAUUUAUUAAAAUGGCAAAGUCAAACACUGUGAAAAUCAUGGCAAAUUCUUUGAGCCUGUCACUUUGAAAUUGUAGGGCCAGAUGGUGAGAAACUUUUCUGCUGGUCAGGGAACUUUCUGAAUGCUGAGCUACUUAGACCAGACUGGUUUUUUGGGUGUUUUUUUAAAUAUGUUUUCUGUAAGAACUAAAUUUGGAUUACCUCUCAUUUUUCAGGGGCUAACAGCACGUAUCACCUGGUAUAGGGCAGCUGCUUGAGGGUAAUGUCAUGUCCCAGAAUAACCUUUCCAUUUUGACCAUGCCUUUGGUAAACCAAGGAAGCCUGUGAGAUUAUUCCUUGUCAUGUGUUCCUCCUCAGUCUUAGCAAGCCACAAUUGUAAUGCAGUGGCAUGUUAGUUCUGCUUUGUUUGGUUUUUUCCCCCAGGAGACCUGAAGUAACAGAAUACUUUCAGUAUAGGGCUCAAGAUCCAGACAGCAGGACAAUCCCUGUCCUAACACAAGGAAGGACUGCAGAAUAACUAGUGCUGGUUGUGGGCUGGCUACUGAAGUGAAAACAGCUUGGGGUAUGCCUUUAACAUGCUCUGAGGCUGUUCAAAACUUUGGGGGUUUGGUUUUGUUUAUCUGGUUGCUGCUGAAGAAGCUUUCCUUCCUCUGGUAUUUUAAAGGCAUGUGUUGUGACCUGUCACUUGCUAGAUUUGUUUGAUGUGAAAUUUGAGUCUGGCCAUGGAAAAACACACUGCAGGAAUGUGUUUAUUUUGCUCUCUGCUGGAGGUAACACUAGUUUCCAGUUCUCUUGAAGUUUCAGCUGAGUGUUGUGUUGUAAAUGUAAUAAUCACAUUCAGGAGGAAAAUUGGCAUGCGAAAUCUACAAAUGGAAGGCCCAGAACCUGCAACUUUGCUUUAGCUUCUCCCAGGCAAACAGCCACAUUCCCACAAAACUCAUUGCAGAAAUGGUGCUGGAAACACCAAAUGUCAAAGUCCCAGGUAUGUCCAUCCUCCCUAGACACAAAGGCAGCUUGCUGAGCCUGUUGGCUUCCUCAGCUGGGAGAUACUCUCCAAAAUACCAAAUGGAUUUUAAGUCCCUUUACUCCUAUCCUAAGAAAUUAAAGAAAUUAACAACUCAAACAAGCAAUGGAACCAAAGCAAACCCAUUUUUAAAUGCUGCUUCACUGCAGAGAGAUUCCAACACAAUAAUUUGCUUUGCAAAUGCUCCCUGUUUAAAGUAACUGUUACAUGUAUGCAGAGUACUCCCAGUUCAUAUGACAGUACAAAGGUGUGGAGAGCUAAUUAAAACAGGUGAUACUUGUUCAAAGCUUGAAGAAGAAAAAGCCUGGACAAGCCCUGCUUUUUGUUAUCCAUGAACUUGUCUUUUUCUAAGUCAGGGUUAUUCUUAACUAAGAAAACAUUACAUGAAAAAAUUAUUUUACAUAGAUGAAUAGAAUGCUAUGUAUGUAUAAUUUUUCAUUGCAGCAAAUCAUAAUGUUAGAGCUAUUUUUCAUUAUUUUUAUUUUUUUAUUCUUUUAUUUUUCUAUUCUUUUGUUCUCUGACAUGAGAGCAAA